AUUUUUUUAAUAUAAAUUAGUAUAUUUGAUUUCCAAUCAAAAGGUCUAGAUAAUUCUAGAAAAAAUA
rnacentral:tRNA from 1 species